GAUGAACGCUAGCUACAGGCUUAACACAUGCAAGUCGAGGGGAAACGACAUCGAAAGCUUGCUUUUGAUGGGCGUCGACCGGCGCACGGGUGAGUAACGCGUAUCCAACCUGCCCACCACUUGGGGAGAACCUUGCGAAAGUAAGACUAAUACCCAAUGACGUCUCUAGAAGACAUCUGAAAGAGAGUAAAGAUUUAUCGGUGAUGGAUGGGGGUGCGUCUGAUUAGCUUGUUGGCGGGGUAACGGCCCACCAAGGCGACGAUCAGUAGGGGUGCUGAGAGGAAGGUACGCCACAUUGGAACUGAGACACGGUACAAACUGCUACGGGAGGCAGCAGUGAGGAAUGUUGGGCAAUGGGCGAGAGCCUGAACCAGCCAAGUAGGGUGCAGGAGGACGGCCCUAUUGGUUGUAAACUGCUUUUAUAAGGGAAUAAAGUGAGUCUCGGGAGACUUUUUGCAUGUACCUUAUGAAUAAGGACCGGCUAAUUCCGUGCCAGCAGCCGCGGUAA
rnacentral:rRNA from 1 species